rnacentral:tRNA from 1 species
GGUGGCCCAGUGAUAGAGUGCUUGCCUUGCAAGCAUGAGGCCCUGGGUUCAAUUCCUCAGCACCA